GAAAUGCGAUAAGUAGUGUGAAUUGCAGAAUUCAGUGAAUCAUCGAAUCUUUGAACGCACAUUGCACCCCUUGGUAUUCCAUGGGGCAUGCCUGUUCGAGCGUCAUUUGUACCCUCAAGCUCUGGUUGGUGUUGGGUGUUUGUCCCGUCUCCGCGCGUGGACUCGCCCCAAAGUGAUUGGCAGCCGGCGUACUGGUCCCGGAGCGCAGCACAUGUCGCGCAAACGAGUGCCUUGGUACGGCGGCGUCCAUAAGCCCCUCUCUCACGCUCUUGACCUCGGAUCAGGUAGGGAUACCCGCUGAACUUAAGC
rnacentral:misc_RNA from 1 species